rnacentral:lncRNA from 1 species
AAAUUGUUGAUUGUUUCUAGAAGGUUUAUGGUGAAAUUUUUGGGAUCUUUGUUAUGCAUAGUGUAUCAUGUGCAAAUGGGGCAUAUUUGACCUUUCUACUACUUUUGCAUACUUUUAAUUUCCUUCUCUUAUCCUGUUGCUUCAGCAGUGUUGAAAAGGAGUUGGGAUAGUGGAUAUCCCUAUCUUGUCCUGACAUUGAUUGAUUGAUUGAUUGAUUGAUUGAUUGAUUGAUUGAUUGAUUUGUUGAUUUAUUUAUUUUGGUAGAGAAAUUUAGAUUCACUUAUCACACAUAGUUCUAGGUGUGUUUAUCCAGGGUUCCUGGAAACGUUUAGUGAUGCCUUGAAUAUGGGCAUCAGCACUAUACUGCCAGCUAGAUUAAGGAAGUUUGAAAUGAACUGAGGAAUUGCAUUCCCCUCCUGUUUCUGGAUAUUCACCAUGGACGAAGCUUUCCCUCCAAUGAAUUGCAGUAGUUCAUCUGUAGAUGAAAUAAACCUUUCUUCAGUUACUUGUCUGUUACUUGGUCACAACAAGAAAUGAUGCAACUUAAAUCUGUGAAAUGUUUACCCUUAACUAGUACCUCUAAAAAAAAUUUUUUUUUUUUAAUUCUUAGAGGAUGUCAUAACAACGUAUCUUGAUGCAUUACUUCUCAGUUGGACUCCUGCCAGAUCCACCCUCCCCUGGUGUCCUCUGGUGUUUUGUUUUGUUUUGUUUUGUUUAAAUUGACUAUUUCACAAUAGAUGUCUUCUUGGCCCUCUCCCUCUUAAUAUCUUUUUGUGAUACUUAGUGAUUUUAAGAUUUUUUUUAAUACAGUGAUUCUCAACCUGCCUAAUGUUUGGUGUUAAAUUUAGCUUCCUCAAAAUACUUUCUCACUGUAAAGAGUGUGUUGUGUGCUGUAGAGUGACUGCCAGCAGACUUGAUCAUCUUCACACUUGAGAAAGUACUUAGCAGGUGCCUUGCUGGAGCGUUAACCACUUUGCUUUUCUUCUUAGACCAGAGGGAUUAUAUCUGUGAAUAUUGUGCUCGGGCCUUCAAGAGUUCCCACAAUCUGGCAGUACACCGGAUGAUUCAUACGGGCGAGAAGCCAUUACAGUGAGUGUUUACUUAGUAGUGAACAUCUGGGUAGAAGUGCAUUUAUUUCACAUGGAGAUUUAUCCCUUAAAAACAUUUCAGUUGAUACUGCUAUUUACUUUUACUAAAUUAAAGACUGAAUAUUUAUUGGGGAAUUACUUGCUGCCUUUUUCUUUGCUUUACUGUUCUUUUUAAAUAUAUUUUUAGUAGCUUGAAAAUUCUUCCUUAACCACUUACCACCAAACCCAGCCCCCUUAUGUAAAUAACCCAUGAAUGCAAUUUAUGCUGCCUAUGUGCUUGAGUAUAAAGUGAAGUGUGCUUGUUUUGUUGUUUCUU